UACGUAGGGUGCAAGCGUUGUCCGGAAUUAUUGGGCGUAAAGAGCUCGUAGGCGGUCUGUCGCGUCUGCUGUGAAAACUCGGGGCUUAACCCCGGGCCUGCAGUGGGUACGGGCAGACUAGAGUGCGGUAGGGGAGACUGGAAUUCCUGGUGUAGCGGUGAAAUGGGCAGAUAUCAGGAGGAACACCGGUGGCGAAGGCGGGUCUCUGGGCCAGUACUUACGCUGAGGAGCGAAAGCGUGGGGAGCAAACAGG
rnacentral:rRNA from 1 species